rnacentral:rRNA from 7 species
GGGCGCUUACCACUUUGUGAUUCAUGACUGGGGUGAAGUCGUAACAAGGUAACCGUAGGGGAACCUGCGGUUGGAUCACCUCCUUACCUUAAAGAA